GCGAUUGGGACCUUUUCGAUUCCAAGAAGUGCCGCCGGUUUGCCAUCGAUCCCUUUGCCUUCUCUCUCUCACCAGGUUUAGGCUUUGGUUUCUCGAUGUAUUUCCGGUUCAUCUUUUUGGAGAGGUCAGCAUCAGCUACUCGGAAUUGAUUUCGUUCAAAGAAGGUAGGUCCCUCGUGGACCCUUAUAUCUUUGUUCUUUCCUUUUCCUUGUGGCUGAGGAGUGUUCUUGUUUCCGAGCUCCACUUUCGAGUACUCGGUUUCUGUGAUGCUGGCUUAAUCGGUUCCAACCGACCCGUCUUGAAACACGGACCAAGGAGUCUAACAUAUGUGCGAGUAUGCGGGUUUUACUCCUGUAUGCGCAAUGAAAGUGAGAGUAGGGAGAUUUUGGCUUUGCCAUUCUUCGCACCUACGACCGACCACGAUCUCUGAGAGAGGUUUGAGUUGGAGCAUAUCUGUUAGGACCCGAAAGAUGGUGAACUAUGCCUGAGUAGAAUGAAGUCAGGGGAAACCCUGAUGGAGGUUCGUAGCGAUACUGACGUGCAAAUCGUUCGUCAAACUUGGGUAUAGGGGCGAAAGACUAA
rnacentral:rRNA from 1 species